rnacentral:rRNA from 1 species
GACGAACGCUGGCGGCGUGCCUAAUACAUGCAAGUUGAGCGCUGAAGGUUGGUACUUGUACCAACUGGAUGAGCAGCGAACGGGUGAGUAACGCGUGGGGAAUCUGCCUUUGAGCGGGGGACAACAUUUGGAAACGAAUGCUAAUACCGCAUAAAAACUUUAAACACAAGUUUUAAGUUUGAAAGAUGCAAUUGCAUCACUCAAAGAUGAUCCCGCGUUGUAUUAGCUAGUUGGUGAGGUAAAGGCUCACCAAGGCGAUGAUACAUAGCCGACCUGAGAGGGUGAUCGGCAACAUUGGGACUGAGACACGGCCCAAACUCCUACGGGAGGCAGCAGUAGGGAAUCUUCGGCAAUGGGCGAAAGUCUGACCGAGCAACGCCGCGUGAGUGAAGAAGGUUUUCGGAUCGUAAAACUCUGUUGGUAGAGAAGAACGUUGGUGAGAGUGGAAAGCUCAUCAAGUGACGGUAACUACCCAGAAAGGGACGGCUAACUACGUG